AUAAAAACUUUUGAAUAAUUCAGU
rnacentral:miRNA from 1 species